CGGUGUGGUGGAACUGGCAGACGCGCCGGACUCAAAAUCCGGUGCCGGCAACGGCGUGUGGGUUCGACUCCCUCCUCGCCCA
rnacentral:tRNA from 1 species